AGGUGCUUGCACCGGUUAAACUUAGUGGCGGACGGGUGAGUAACGCGUGGGUAACCUGCCCAUGUGCCCGGGAUAACUUCUGGAAACGGAUGCUAAAACCGGAUAGGUAGCAGACAAGCAUUUGACUGCUAUUAAAGUGGCUAAGGCCAUGAACAUGGAUGGACCUGCGGUGCAUUAGCUAGUUGGUGAGGUAACGGCUCACCAAGGCGACGAUCAGUAGCCGGCCUGAGAGGGUGAACGGCCACAUUGGGACUGAGACACGGCCCAAACUCC
rnacentral:rRNA from 1 species